rnacentral:rRNA from 1 species
GACGAACGCUGGCGGCGUGCUUAACACAUGCAAGUCGAACGGAAAGGCCCUGCUUUUGUGGGGUGCUCGAGUGGCGAACGGGUGAGUAACACGUGAGUAACCUGCCCUUGACUUUGGGAUAACUUCAGGAAACUGGGGCUAAUACCGGAUAGGAGCUCCUGCUGCAUGGUGGGGGUUGGAAAGUUUCGGCGGUUGGGGAUGGACUCGCGGCUUAUCAGCUUGUUGGUGGGGUAGUGGCUUACCAAGGCUUUGACGGGUAGCCGGCCUGAGAGGGUGACCGGCCACAUUGGGACUGAGAUACGGCCCAGACUCCUACGGGAGGCAGCAGUGGGGAAUAUUGCACAAUGGGCGGAAGCCUGAUGCAGCAACGCCGCGUGCGGGAUGACGGCUUUCGGGUUGUAAACCGCUUUCGCCUGUGACGAAGCGUGAGUGACGGUAAUGGGUAAAGAAGCACCGGCUAACUACGUGCCAGCAGCCGCGGUGAUACGUAGGGUGCGAGCGUUGUCCGGAUUUAUUGGGCGUAAAGGGCUCGUAGGUGGUUGAUCGCGUCGGAAGUGUAAUCUUGGGGCUUAACCCUGAGCGUGCUUUCGAUACGGGUUGACUUGAGGAAGGUAGGGGAGAAUGGAAUUCCUGGUGGAGCGGUGGAAUGCGCAGAUAUCAGGAGGAACACCAGUGGCGAAGGCGGUUCUCUGGGCCUUUCCUGACGCUGAGGAGCGAAAGCGUGGGGAGCGAACAGGCUUAGAUACCCUGGUAGUCCACGCUGUAAACGGUGGGUACUAGGUGUGGGGUCCAUUCCACGGGUUCCGUGCCGUAGCUAACGCUUUAAGUACCCCGCCUGGGGAGUACGGCCGCAAGGCUAAAACUCAAAGGAAUUGACGGGGCCCCGCACAAGCGGCGGAGCAUGCGGAUUAAUUCGAUGCAACGCGUAGAACCUUACCUGGGUUUGACAUGGAUCGGGAGUGCUCAGAGAUGGGUGUGCCUCUUUUGGGGUCGGUUCACAGGUGGUGCAUGGCUGUCGUCAGCUCGUGUCGUGAGAUGUUGGGUUAAGUCCCGCAACGAGCGCAACCCUUGUUCACUGUUGCCAGCACGUUAUGGUGGGGACUCAGUGGAGACCGCCGGGGUCAACUCGGAGGAAGGUGGGGAUGACGUCAAGUCAUCAUGCCCCUUAUGUCCAGGGCUUCACGCAUGCUACAAUGGCUGGUACAGAGAGUGGCGAGCCUGUGAGGGUGAGCGAAUCUCGGAAAGCCGGUCUCAGUUCGGAUUGGGGUCUGCAACUCGACCUCAUGAAGUCGGAGUCGCUAGUAAUCGCAGAUCAGCAACGCUGCGGUGAAUACGUCCCCGGG